rnacentral:lncRNA from 1 species
CAACUCUUCAAUUUAGAAUAAUGUAUAACUUUUAAAUUUUUACCUUUACAAAAUUAUUUACUCUUUAUAAUUUUAAAAUUAUAAUAUUUUAAUACAAUAUAAAUGGAACAUAUGUGCGUCGUAUCUAUACCAUUAUAAUUUAGGAUGGGUAACUUCUGUGUGUUAUAUUUUAACUGGACAAAUUUAUUUUUUUAAUAAAUAAAAAAUAAUUUAUGUAUUUAUUAAAAUAAGUAAUUGAGCAACUUUUUCUUUUA